GACGAACGCUGGCGGCGUGCUUAACACAUGCAAGUCGAACGGAAAGGCCUGCUUUCCCUUGUGGAUUGCGGGUACUCGAGUGGCGAACGGGUGAGUAACACGUGAGUGAUCUGCCCCCAACUUGGGUAUAAGCCUGGGAAACUGGGUCUAAUUCCCGAUAGGACUGCAGGGUGGUGCCUGUGGUGGAAAACGAUUUUCUAGUGGUUGGGGAUGAGCUCGCGGCCUAUCAGCUUGUUGGUGGGGUAAUGUCUUACCAAGGCGGCGACGGGUAGCCGGCCUGGGAGGGUGGACGGCCACAUUGGGACUGAGAUACGGCCCAGACUCCGACGGGAGGCAGCAGUGGGGAAUAUUGCACAAUGGGCGGAAGCCUGAUGCCGCGACGCCGCGUGGGGGAUGACGGCCUUCGGGUUGUAAACUCCUUUCGACCGCGAGGAAGCCACCUGGUUGGAAGGGUGGUGACGGUAGUGGUAGAAGAAGCACCGGCUAACUACGUG
rnacentral:rRNA from 1 species